rnacentral:rRNA from 1 species
GACGAACGUUGGCGGCGUGCUUAACACAUGCAAGUCGAACGGAAAGGCCCUGCUUUUGUGGGGUGCUCGAGUGGCGAACGGGUGAGUAACACGUGAGUAACCUGCCUUGACUUUGGGAUAACUUCAGGAAACUGGGGCUAAUACCGGAUAGGAGCUCCUGCUGCAUGGUGGGGGUUGGAAAGUUUCGGCGGUUGGGGAUGGACUCGCGGCUUAUCAGCUUGUUGGUGGGGUAGUGGCUUACCAAGGCUUUGACGGGUAGCCGGCCUGAGAGGGUGACCGGACACGUUGGGAGUGAGAUACGGCGCAGACUAAUACGGGAAGGAGCAGUGGGAGAUAGUGUAGAAGGGGCGGAGGGAUGCUAGAGCAACGCCGCGGGGGGGAGGGGAGCCAGCAGGUAGUAAAACGCGAACGACUGUGACGGAGCGUGAGUGACGGUAAGGGGUGAGGAAGCACCGGCUAACUACGUG